CUGUCACAGCAAUUUUUCUUCUGUUUAUACAUUGAUGAACUUUUUUAUGAUAGACACCAAUAUUGGAAUAUCCUUUAUCUGUGAGAAUUUUUAUAUACACCCACGGCAAAAGUUGGAGGUGAUAUCUUACAAACUUUGAUCUCAUUGAUUGCGUCCCCUGAUGAAGUCCUGUAAGGACGAAACGCGUUGGGCACUCACGCAUUUGUGAUUUGAACAUACAUCUGAACGCUUCAUUGAGAAAUAGA